AGCAGUAAGACCAGUUAGGAAGCUCUUUGCAGCAAACCAGGUGAGAGAUGAUGGCAGCUUAGACCAAGGAGGUAGCAGUGAAGGUUGUGAGAACUAGUCAGACUCAAGAUAUUCUUGAGGAAGAGGUGACAGAAUUUCCAGAUGGCAAGACAAAAAGAAGAGACAAGAAUGACUCCGCAGUUUCUGGCCUGAGCGCCUGAAAAGAAGGAGUGGUAAUGAACUAAGAUGGAGAAAACUACAGGAGAAGCCAAAGCGGGGCACCAUUCCUAAUCAAUUGACAUUAGAAAAAGGUAAAAUGCUGCCAUCAUCUCAGAUCUAGAAGUCUUCUGUGCUUCACGGGAAAUGCAAUCUCCCUGUUAUGUUCUUCAAAGGGGGCCCCCCUGUCCUUGAACCACAAAGUUGGCAUUUAAUCAUCAGAGCAUCUUAAAUCUGGAAGAGGCCUUAGAGAAAAUUAAUUUGCAUCACUUGACAUAUGAGUAAUGAAAAUCCCAGGUUAAGAAACUAGAUAAAAGUCACAUGGCAUGUUAACACAUCACACGUGACUCAGAAUUAUAUAGUU